rnacentral:lncRNA from 10 species
CCGCCGCGGCGGGAGGGGCGCUCCAGACCUUGGGUCAGCACGCCCCCAGAAGGAAGGGGGAACGUGCUCUGCGCCCCCCCGCCCCCCAACCCCCGCCUAGCCCCUUCACAGCAAAUGCGCUUUUUGCCCUGAAGUUGUGUGAGACCGACCUUAAACUUUCUCCGACCCUAUCUCGGGAUGCUACGGCUCAGGUCGUGGUGGUUUCGGGAACCUCAAGACAACAUUCCCCAGCUGACCUUUGGGAACUUUAACUCGGGUCGUCAUGUACGGAAAGGUAGUCUAUGGGGUACGCAGAAUGGAAAAGGGCUUCCACAUCAGUCGUGUCCGAGGACGCUCUCCAACUUUUGAUGUCCCUGGAGAGUUUCUGAUAUUUCCCUGGAGAGUUUCAGAAAGGAUUUCUUCCGACAGACGUGACCCCAGAAGGCUGCCGAGGGAGACUUUAGGACAAGAGGCGUUGUUUUUUUAGGGAAGGAAGAGGAGCCUGUGCAGAGUUGAACUGGGGUGGAGAGGUGCCUUGUAAAGUAUGGUUUCCAGAGAUGGUGAGACCUCGUAGCUAAGCGUUGUUUCCUCUGCACGUAACUUUUCAGCGUGGCCGCAUUUGGAAAAGGCUGAAGGUAGAAAACUCUGGAAUGGAGAGGCUGGCGACUGGAGCAGGAUCCAGGGGCUUUAAAUUUUAACCUGAAUGCGAUCGAAUGCGCGACUCCCAGAAGAGAUAGCCAGGCGUCCGCCCGGCCGCUCAACCCCCGCCAGGACUCGGAAUGCCUUGCUUUUGGUUCUUUUCGUGAGUUCCGACCAAAUGUUUAAGUGGACUGGGUUUUGCAGAAGCUCAUUUGUAAGCACUGACGGAAAUGGGUUGUGGGCAUUUGAUUUCCUUUGAUUCCAACGUUUUGAAAUAAUGUUUCUCGGAUUUGCUAUUCGAAGCAAUUUUCUAAAAACUCAUAUCUUAUUUGCUAAAAAUAAACUCUUUGGCUCAGUUUGUGUCCAGGCUGUGUACGGCCUCCAACCCUGAGCCCCGAGGAGAUCGAGCCCUGGCGCGAGCCUGAUCUCUGUCCUGUGUGUUUCUUUGUAUUUGCAAGUACAAGGAUGUCUGCGUGGAUAUCCCUGGACACUCGAUACCCCCCGGGGACCUGCUUUUCCCGCAGCUCCGCAGACGCGGCGGGAGGGCGCGCUGGCCCCGGCGCUGCUGGGACAGAGGUGAGCAGCGGGGUGGACAUUGACCGAUUCGACAACGUUCGGGCUCUAAGGGCUCGGGAAGGGACCCGGCAUUUUACCCUCCAGAUUCCCAAUCUAUUUUUAAAAAUAAUGUUCAAAACAUAUGGGAAAAAUAAGUGAUUGCUCCUUUUCAUGGUCACAGAUUGUAUUUAUUUUUUCAGACUGGUUUUCCAACCUAACGAGGGAAUGGGUAGUGAAUGUUGUUGUUGUUGUUGUUGUUUAUGUUGGUUAAUUUCGAAAUAAAACUGUUU